UACGUAGGGGGCAAGCGUUAUCCGGAUUUACUGGGUGUAAAGGGAGCGUAGACGGCAGUGCAAGUCCGGAGUGAAAGCCCGGGGCUCAACCCUGGGACUGCUCUGGGAACUGUAAAGCUGGAGUGCGGGAGGGGCAGGCGGAAUUCCUGGUGUAGCGGUGAAAUGCGUAGAUAUCAGGAGGAACACCGGCGGCGAAGGCGGCCUGCUGGACCGUAACUGACGUUGAGGCUCGAAAGCGUGGGGAGCAAACAGG
rnacentral:rRNA from 1 species